ensembl:lncRNA
UGACAGGCAACACAACUCUUGGAUGAGGACUCAUUUCUUACAUAACAUGCAUCACAGUCCCACUGUCCUGGUUUCAUACCAAAUUGGCCACCGAAAUUCGAGCCAAACGCAGAGCUCAAAGGCUUGGUGGUUGGGGCAGCUUUCAUUUGGGUAGGUGGCCCUGCUUUUUCUGUGAUAACUGAUGCUGCUGAGGCCUGAGGAGUUUGACAGGCAACACAACUCUUUGAUAAGGACUCAUUUCUCACAUAACAUGCAUCACAGUCCCAUUGACCUUGUUUCAUCCCAAAUUGGCUACCAAAACUCGAUCCAAACGCAGAGCUCUGGGGCUUGCUGGUUGGGCCAGCAACCAUUUGUGCAGGUGGACCGAAUUUUCCUGAGACAACUGAUGCUGCUGAGGCCUGAGGAGUUUGACAGGCAACACAACUCGUCGAUGAGGACUCAUUUCUCACAUAACAUGCAUCACAGUCCCAUUGACCUUGUUUCAUCCCAAAUUGGCUACCAAAACUCGAUCCAAACGCAGAGCUCUGGGGCUUGCUGGUUGGGGCAGCUGCCAUUUGUGCAGGUGGACCGAAUGUUCCUGAGACAACGGAUGCUGCUGAGGCCUGAGGAGUUUGACAGGCAACACAACUCGUGGAUGAGGACUCAUUUCUUACAUAACAUGCAUCACAGUCCCACUGUCCUGGUUUCAUCCCAAAUUGGCCACCGAAAUUCGAGCCAAACGCAGAGCUCAGAGGCUUGGUGGUUGGGGCAGCUUUUAUUUGGGUAGGUGGCCCUGCUUUUUCUGUGAUAACUGAUGCUGCUGAGGCCUGAGGAGUUUGACAGGCAACACAACUCGUCGAUGAGGACUCAUUUCUCACAUAACAUGCAUCACAGUCCCAUUGACCUUGUUUCAUCCCAAAUUGGCUACCAAAACUCGAUCCAAACGCAGAGCUCUGGGGCUUGCUGGUUGGGGCAGCUUCCAUUUGUGCAGGUGGACCGAAUGUUCCUGAGACAACGGAUGCUGCUGAGGCCUGAGGAGUUUGACAGGCAACACAACUCGUGGAUGAGGACUCAUUUCUUACAUAACAUACAUCACAGUCCCACUGUCCUGGUUUCAUACCAAAUUGGCCACCGAAAUUCGAGCCAAACGCAGAGCUCAGAGGCUUGGUGGUUGGGGCAGCUUUCAUUUGGGUAGGUGGCCCUGCUUUUCCUGUGAUAACUGAUGCUGCUGAGGCCUGAGGAGUUU